GACAGAGGAUGCAAGCGUUAUCCGGAAUGAUUGGCGUAAAGCGUCUGUAGGUGGCUUUUUAAGUCCGCCGUCAAAUCCCAGGGCUCAACCCUGGACAGGCGGUGGAAACUACCAAGCUGGAGUACGGUAGGGGCAGAGGGAAUUUCCAGUGGAGGCGGUGAAAUGCGUAGAGAUCGGAAAGAACACCAACGGCGAAAGCACUCUGGCUGGGCCGACACUGACACUGAGAGACGAAAGCUAGGGGAGCGAAUGGG
rnacentral:rRNA from 1 species